rnacentral:rRNA from 1 species
UGGGGAAUAUUGGACAAUGGGCGCAAGCCUGAUCCAGCCAUGCCGCGUGAGUGAUGAAGGCCUUAGGGUUGUAAAGCUCUUUCGCCGGUGAAGAUAAUGACGGUAACCGGAGAAGAAGCCCCGGCUAACUUCGUGCCAGCAGCCGCGGUAAUACGAAGGGGGCUAGCGUUGCUCGGAAUCACUGGGCGUAAAGCGCACGUAGGCGGAUCGUUAAGUCAGGGGUGAAAUCCUGGAGCUCAACUCCAGAACUGCCCUUGAUACUGGCGAUCUCGAGUUCGAGAGAGGUUGGUGGAACUCCGAGUGUAGAGGUGAAAUUCGUAGAUAUUCGGAAGAACACCAGUGGCGAAGGCGGCCAACUGGCUCGAUACUGACGCUGAGGUGCGAAAGCGUGGGGAGCAAAACAGGAUUAGAUACCCUGGUAGUCCACGCCGUAAACGAUGGAUGCUAGCCGUUGGGGGGUUUACCUCUCAGUGGCGCAGCUAACGCGUGAAGUUGACCGCCUGGGGAGUACGGUCGCAAGAUUAAAACUCAAAUGAAUUGACGGGGUCAUAGCUGUUUCCUG